CUAUGAUCCUUCCGUAGUGAAGCUUAUCCAAGCCUUUGCAGCCUGGCAACAGGUAGCUGCGCGACUCUAAACAAUGCGGCCUCAUGCAAGUCGGUGGUUAAACUACUGGCAACACGACCGAAUUGACGGGGACACCCUAAAGCCUGCACCACCAACCCGCCCGGGAAACCGCGCGGGGGCCUAUGUUAACAGCAUAGGGUAUGGUAAUAGAGUGCUAGGAUAUUAUAAUGGGCGAUCCGCAGCGAAGGCCCUAAGUGCUACAGCAUACGGGACACGUUCACAGACUAAGUGGUUGUGGGCAGGAUGCUACCACGCAUCAUGCUUCAGAUAUAGUCGGGCCCCUUGAGAGACCUAGGGAGUAAUCUCACUGCAGUCCGUUCCGUAGGUGAACCUGCGGAAGGAUCAUUACAGAGUUCAUGCCCUAAUGGGUAGAUCUCCCACCCUUGAAUACUAUACCUUUGUUGCUUUGGUAGGCCGCUUCGGCUACCGGCUUCGGCUGGUAAGUGCCUGCCAGAGGACCCCAAACUCUGAAUAUUAGUGUCGUCUGAGUACUAUAUAAUAGUUAAAACUUUCAACAACGGAUCUCUUGGUUCUGGCAUCGAUGAAGAACGCAGCGAAAUGCGAUAAGUAAUGUGAAUUGCAGAAUUCAGUGAAUCAUCGAAUCUUUGAACGCACAUUGCGCCCCUUGGUAUUCCGAGGGGCAUGCCUGUUCGAGCGUCAUUAUAACCCUCAAGCCUAGCUUGGUGUUAGGGCCUGCUGUUACCGGCAGCUCUUAAAAAUAGUGGCGGUGCCACCUGGCUCUAAGCGUAGUAAUACUCCUCGCUAUAGGGUCCUGAUGGAUGCUUGCCAACAACCCCUAAUUUUCUACGGGUGACCUCGGAUCAGGUAGGGAAACCCGCUGAACUUAAGAAAAUAAUAAA
rnacentral:rRNA from 1 species